CUCUGUUUCUUUGCGGCGCCAGAUCGUAUAAAAGGGCUGGAAGGACCGCCAGGAUAACUCAGUGCACCACCGCCGCCGUUACGAGAACACAUCCACUCCUUUGGGGCUCCUGACCUUCUCCACACACAGAGCUAGUCGGAUCUGCAGCCACGACCCACACGCAUCAUCUAACCCUAUCCACACUCAAGCAGAAGAAAGGUUUUAUACACCAAGGCGAUUCCAGACGUUAUCACUCACCUAACAUUCCUUCUUGCUCAACCCAACCUCCCAUCAAGUGAUCAAAGAUGCGUGUGUGGGUGCUGCUGCUGGCCGUCCUUGCUGUGCUAUCGGCGAUGGUUGGGGUGGCGGAGGCGGCGCCUGCCCCUCAGCAACUCACCUUCAGGAGGACCUUCGGGUUCAGACGGGUCAUUCCAAGGAGACGCAACACCGUCCGCUCCCGACCCAAGCCCACAAAGUCCAGGGGAUGCACCAACUCGGGGCUCUUCGUGGUGUGCUGAAGGACCCGAUGAGAGGCUGACGUCCGGAAGGGGAGAGAGGGGGAGGGGGUGAAGAUGUCAAAUGGCACUCCUAUUCUUAUUCCUCCUUCGUCGAGUGUCGCAGAUUUGGCUCCACGGCGAUAGGGAAUCAGUAGUGAGGGCGCCAAGAUUUGUUACCCCUUCCCUGCUCCUCCUGCAUCCCCUUCCUCCUCUUACAUCUCCUUCCCUUAAUUCCCCUUACCCUUACACUUAAUUCCUUAAUGAUUAAGGAAGUAAAGGGAAGGGGACGAGGGAUAGGAGAUUAAAUACCCUUUCCAUUCCUAUCACACCUACUUACCGAUAUCCCAUCCCUUUAACCCCCUUCCCUUAUCACUCCUUCCCCUUACCCCAUUUCCCAUACCCCUUUUCCUUCAUGCACCUCCGUGGUGCAGUGGUUAACGUGACUAACUACGGAUCCGCGGGUCCGGGUUCGAAUCCCGGCCCGGGCAGUCGGCGUGCAGCCCACCCAGUUGUCCAUCCUCCCUUGCGGGCGGAUCGAUAAAUAGGUGGCUGGGGAAUCCUGGGAAAGGUAAACUGUGGUAACCCGAACGUUACUCUGGCCCUGUGUCCCGGGGUGAUGGCUGCUUCCCGCCACAGGCUCAAGGGUCAGUGCAACGGAAACAAGCACCGCAGCCACGCGCAGCAGCAACGUGUGCCCCAACAUUACUUUCCCCUUCAAAUCCCCAUCACAUGCAUCAUCUUUACCCUCAUCGUCCCCCUAUCUUCAAGAUUUUCCCCUCUCCCUCCCCCUCCCCAUCAUCACCCCUUAGUUCCUUCAUAAGGCUUCCCUCCCCUUUUCCUCCCUUUAUCGGACCCCUUCACUCAUUAACGCUAAUCUAAUCACCCUUAAAAGGUCACGUUUAUGGAUGACUGAAGUGCUUGCUAAGCUUUACCUUUAUUAUUUAUUUAUCGUGAGCCUUUCGUGUGGUAAUUGGUGGUGGUGGUGGUGCUGGUGGUGGUGGUGGUGCUGGUGGUGAUGACUUAAUCGCCACUACCCCUUCCCCUCCCUCCCUCCUCCACCUCCUUCCCCUCCGCUCAUUCUACUCCCUUUCCUUUCCUCCCUCCCAUACUGCUACCGCCAUGUAUUUGCCUAUAUUUAUUAUGUAAGUCCGUUUAUAUAUUGUUGUGUAAAUAAAUGUGUGACAAAUAUU